CUGGGGGAGGAGGGCUGCGGGAUGGAGGGGGAGGGGAGGGGAGGGGCUGGGGGAGCGGGGGCGGCGUCGUGGAGGCGUGAAGUGCUGCAGCUCUGACAGGAAGCAGCGUCACCGUUUCAUUAAUACGCGGUCGUACGGGCCGUUAACCGGUCCGUCCGGUGUGACGCUGCUGCCGGAGCUGCUGUGGACCGGACGCAGGCAGGUUCAUGUGCAUUGCUUCAUGUGUUGUCCAUCCUGGUCUUCAGGUGCUGCCAUUAAAGGAACAUUUGGGGAUGAGGUCACAACUAGUGAGAUGAGGAGAUCGGGGACCACCGGGUCACGUGCUGCUCUGGGCGUCUGGGCUGGAGACCAGUACUGGACCGGCUCUAACGCCUGUGAAGGCUCUUGUCCCACUGCAUAUAAGCACCUCCACAUUUUAGUUGAUCCCCUUCACACAGUGCAAAUGACGAGUGAGAUGCUGCUGAAAUGCAUUGUGGGAUUGAAAAGGCUGGAGAAACCAGACAAACUCUAGUGUGAUUUCUGUCUUGUUUUCCUCCCAGUGGCCUACAUCCUGGUCACAGUGUGUUCUCUGGUGCAGAUCCAGAACCGAACCACAAGCUGUGAAUGGAUCAAUGGUUUCUGUGCUUUGUUGCAGACGUCGAGCCGUGAGGAAGAGCAGAGCCUCUCACACGUUUGGUGGAUGACCCGAUAAUUAAUUGAUGGAGGGUGAAAUGAUGACUAACGGCACCAGUAGCUACAGAACGCAGCAUCUACUUCUGGGAUGUUCUGUUCACAUCUGAUCAAUUAAAGAAGGGAUUUUGGCUC